GAUGAACGCUGGCGGCGUGCCUAAUACAUGCAAGUCGAGCGAACAGACGAGGAGCUUGCUCCUCUGACGUUAGCGGCGGACGGGUGAGUAACACGUGGAUAACCUACCUAUAAGACUGGGAUAACUUCGGGAAACCGGAGCUAAUACCGGAUAAUAUAUUGAACCGCAUGGUUCAAUAGUGAAAGACGGUUUUGCUGUCACUUAUAGAUGGAUCCGCGCCGCAUUAGCUAGUUGGUAAGGUAACGGCUUACCAAGGCAACGAUGCGUAGCCGACCUGAGAGGGUGAUCGGCCACACUGGAACUGAGACACGGUCCAGACUCCUACGGGAGGCAGCAGUAGGGAAUCUUCCGCAAUGGGCGAAAGCCUGACGUAGCAACGCCGCGUGAGUUAUGAAGGUCUUCGGAUCGUAAAACUCUGUUAUUAGUGAAGAACAAAUGUGUAAGUAACUAUGCCCGUCUUGACGGUACCUAAUCAGAAAGCCACGGCUAACUACGUG
rnacentral:rRNA from 1 species